rnacentral:rRNA from 1 species
GCCGGUAAGGUGAUAUGAACCGUUAUAACCGGCGAUACCCGAAUGGGGAAACCCAGUGUGAUUCGUCACACUAUCAUUAACUGAAUCCAUAGGUUAAUGAGGCGAACCGGGGGAACUGAAACAUCUAAGUACCCCGAGGAAAAGAAAUCAACCGAGAUUCCCCCAGUAGCGGCGAGCGAACGGGGAGGAGCCCAGAGCCUGAAUCAGCAUGUGUGUUAGUGGAAGCGUCUGGAAAGGCGCGCGAUACAGGGUGACAGCCCCGUACACAAAAGCGCAUGUGCUGUGAGCUCGAUGAGUAGGGCGGGACACGUGGUAUCCUGUCUGAAUAUGGGGGGACCAUCCUCCAAGGCUAAAUACUCCUGACUGACCGAUAGUGAACCAGUACCGUGAGGGAAAGGCGAAAAGAACCCCGGCGAGGGGAGUGAAAAAGAACCUGAAACCGU